rnacentral:rRNA from 1 species
CAGCCGCCGCGGUAAUACCGGCGGCCCGAGUGGCGGUCACUCUUAUUGGGCUUAAAGCGUCCGUAGCCGGGUUGGGAAGUCCUCCGGGAAAUCUGGCCGCUUAACGGUCAGAAUGCCGGAGGAUACUCCCAGCCUAGGGAGCGGGGGAGGCCGAGGGGAUUCCCGGGGUAGGGGUGGAAUCCUAUAAUCCCGGGAGGACCACCUGUGGCGAAGGCGCUCGGCUGGAACGCGUCCGACGGUGAGGGACGAAGGCCAGGGGAGCAAACCGGAUUAGAUACCCGGGUAGUCCUGGCUGUAAACGAUGCGGACUUUGUGUCGGACAAGCUAUGAGCUUGUCCGGUGCCGGAGGGAAACCGUUAAGUCCGCCGCCUGGGGAGUACGGCCGCAAGGCUGAAACUUAAAGGAAUUGGCGGG